rnacentral:tmRNA from 1 species
GGGGGUGUUCCGGAUUCGACCGGUUGCGCGUAGGGCAUGGUUGCACGCAGGAGAUGACACUUGGCUCCUUAAAAAAGUGUCAGGCUUACAAAUGCCAAAAAUAAUGUAAUCGAGUUCCCUGGCGCCAGCCAGGAGCUUAUCGCAGCCUAAGUCUGCGUCGUCCAUGCGGGCCGACAUCCGCUAAGUUCGCAGGGCGUGUAAAAAGCGGAAGAACCUUCAUGCUUUUGCUGGUCUUCAAGAAGCAAAAAUGAAAACCAGACCGGUGACACGGGUGCCCCUGCCCCAUCGUCACUUAAAUUUAAAACAGGACGGCUAAGCGUGUAGACGCCAUGUUCGAAACCUCCCGGGACGCGGGUUCGACUCCCGCCACCUCCACCA